rnacentral:rRNA from 1 species
AUGGCGCAAGAACUGCUGAGCUGCCGCCCCGCUCUGGGCGGACGAGAACGUUGGAUCGAGCAGUUAGCCGACCUCAUCGCGAGGGCUAGACUAGCCCCCGCUCAGGACGAUGUGGCCUACAACACCCAGCCACCUCCGUCAUCGCGCCCUGAGGUAGCUGUGCAGCCUCUGCAGGUCCCUCCAGCCUCGCGCAUAUCAUCCUUGUGCGAGGAAGGAGCGGGGCAUCGGGUCAUCACGAGGGUCCCAGAGGAUGCUCGCGUCUCCGUUGAGCGCCAAAGGGACAAUGAGAAGCGAGCCAUCCAGGACGUCGCCGUGGCCGGGCUCGCAAAUCGCCGCGUCAGCUCGAGUUCUCGCAUCCCCAUCACGCUCGGGGGCUGCCUCGUGUUCACACGCGAGCUCCGCGAGGUUCGUUGGCCUGAAAACUUCAAGCCUGAUCUCCCAGGUCACUAUGACGGCUCGGCGCAUCCGCUCUAG